CAUUUCAUCUCAUUCCAAAUUGUAAUAAACCCAUGAAAAUAAAAAAUUACUCCUCAAAUCAUUCUUGUAUGUUAAUGAUCUCUUCUUGGCUCCUUAUCGAAAAUUGUCCUACGUUGCGAGCUCGUCAUUUUGGUAUUAUUUUCACAGUGAAUGAUCGAUAUAACUUUGUGGAGGUUGUGGAAGCAGGGUUAUUUUGAGUGGAGUGAUUUUAUUCAAGUUUUCUAGUUUUUUAAGAAAGUGGUGCGGACAGAGGUAUUUCUAGAAUAACUUAUAAAGCAAAAGGUCUCGAAAGACAACCCAAUAGACCUCCUCAGCAGCAGGAUUGACUUCGAGCUGAUUGGUUAGCCCCCUUCCUGCGAGUAGCCAAAGUUUGGAGAUGAAGGCAUAUUUUUUUCUGAUGAACUAAUAGAAGAGUUGAAGCUAAAGUCUGAAAAACUUAUCGAAGAGCUGUAGAGCUGGGAGCUUCUCGAUUAACAACAUGAUUGCUAUCAUACUUCUCGCUGAAGAACACAAUUUUUGUUUGUAUAUGUUUUAUCAGGAAAAUGCUGAUAAAUGAAUUUGAAUUAUGGAUAGAAGUAAACUGGAUCUAUUAUAGUAAACGAUGAAGAGUAUUUGUAUAAACAUAUUGUACAUGUUUGAAUGCAUUUGAUUUUGUGGAAUUAAUUUAUAGUACUAAACGAUGAAAAUUGAUUUUUGUGAAAUAUAUUUAGUUUUGUACUAUUGUUGUGAACGAUGAACUAUUUUUGUACAAGACAUGUUUCACGAAGUUUAUUUGAAAUAUAUAGCUUCGAUUUAAUUAUUA